rnacentral:rRNA from 1 species
UAAUUGAAGAGUUUGAUCAUGGCUCAGAUUGAACGCUGGCGGCAGGCUUAACACAUGCAAGUCGAGCGGUAACACAGGAGAGCUUGCUCUCUGGGUGACGAGCGGCGGACGGGUGAGUAAUGUCUGGGAAACUGCCUGAUGGAGGGGGAUAACUACUGGAAACGGUAGCUAAUACCGCAUAACGUCGCAAGACCAAAGAGGGGGACCUUCGGGCCUCUU